UAGCGGAGGAAAAGAAACUAACAAGGAUUCCCCUAGUAGCGGCGAGCGAAGCGGGAAGAGCUCAAAUUUAUAAUCUGGCACCUUCGGUGUCCGAGUUGUAAUCUCUAGAAGUGUUUUCCGCGUUGGACCGCACACAAGUCUGUUGGAAUACAGCGGCAUAGUGGUGAAACCCCCGUAUAUGGUGCGGACGCCCAGCGCUUUGUGAUACACUUUCAAUGAGUCGAGUUGUUUGGGAAUGCAGCUCAAAUUGGGUGGUAAAUUCCAUCUAAAGCUAAAUAUUGGCGAGAGACCGAUAGCGAACAAGUACCGUGAGGGAAAGAUGAAAAGCACUUUGGAAAGAGAGUUAACAGUACGUGAAAUUGUUGGAAGGGAAACGCUUGAAGUCAGACUUGCUUGCCGGAGCUUGCUUCGGUUUGCAGGCCAGCAUCAGUUUUCCGGGGUGGAUAAUGACGGUUUGAAGGUAGCAGUCUCGGCUGUGUUAUAGCUUUCCGUUGGAUACAUCCUGGGGGACUGAGGAACGCAGCGUGCUUUUUGCGAAAGACUCGUCUU
rnacentral:rRNA from 1 species